AUUGAACGCUGGCGGCAUGCCUUACACAUGCAAGUCGAACGGCAGCGGACCUUCGGGUGCCGGCGAGUGGCGAACGGGUGAGUAAUGCAUCGGAACGUGCCAUUGAGUGGGGGAUAACGUAGCGAAAGUUGCGCUAAUACCGCAUAUUCUGUGCGCAGGAAAGCAGGGGACCGCAAGGCCUUGCGCUCUUUGAGCGGCCGAUGUCAGAUUAGCUAGUUGGUGAGGUAACGGCUUUACCAAGGCGACGAUCUGUAGCGGGUCUGAGAGGGAUGAUCCGCCACAC
rnacentral:rRNA from 1 species